rnacentral:rRNA from 1 species
UACGUAGGGGGCUAGCGUUGUCCGGAAUCAUUGGGCGUAAAGCGCGCGUAGGCGGCCCUGUUAGUCCGCUGUAAAAGUCAAAGGCUCAACCUUUGAAUGCCGGUGGAUACUGCAGGGCUAGAGUCCGGAAGAGGAGAGUGGAAUUCCUGGUGUAGCGGUGAAAUGCGCAGAUAUCAGGAAGAACACCAAUGGCGAAGGCAGCUCUCUGGGACGGUACUGACGCUGAGACGCGAAAGCGUGGGGAGCGAACAGG